rnacentral:rRNA from 1 species
GACGAACGCUGGCGGCGUGCUUAACACAUGCAAGUCGAACGAAGAGACAUGGAAGUUGGCUUCCUUCAAUUUUAGUGGGGAACGGGUGUAUAACGCGUAAUCAAUAUCUACUUCAGUGGGGGAAAUCAGGGGGAAACGAGUGCUAACACGGUAUAAGAUCUAAUCUCGGGAUCGAAGAGUGAAGGAAGGUGUCGCCUACAUGUAAGCAUGCACUCGAGGUGGAGUAGGCGUCUGAUUAGCUAGUUGGAGGGGUAACGGACCAUCAAUGCGAUGAUCAGUAGCCGGUCUGAGAGGAUGAACGGCCACAUUGGGACUGAGACACGGCCCAGACUCCUACGGGAGGCAGCAGUGGGGAAUCUUCCGCAAUGGACGAAAGUCUGACGGAGCAAAGCCGGGUGAGGGAUGACGGCCUUCGGGUUGUAAAGCUCUGUUAAUCGGGACGAAAGGCCUUCUUGCGAAUAGUGAGAAGGAUUGACGGUACCGGAAUAGAAAGCCACGGCUAACUACGUG